GUGGCUUCCUCCCAAGGAGAAUGGAUUCCAGACUCUGUUUGGGAAUCGAAGAAUUGUCUUCUUCCCCAAGGAAAGAAGGACACGCCCUUAUGCACGCAGCAUUUUUCUGUGUGUGAAAGAGGGGCUGGAAAGGCAGUGCACAAAAAUCACAUUCUUGUCCCGCUGCAGAAUGCACUGCCUGGGGCGCUCUCUCCUCGGCGCCGGCUUGCUCAGCAGAAAGCUGCAGGGAAGCUGGCGGAGAGCUUAGUCACGGCCUUUCGAACCCUCCUCCACUGCUUCCAAGUUCAAAGGAGAGAAGAAACGAGAAACGAGGCCUCCCAGACCUUCACAGGGAGACACCCUGCUGGAGCAGCACCAACCAUCUCCCAAGCAGCCCCACCAUUACCCUCUUCAUCAUUGCAGAAGUACAACAAUAGGAUGGAGACUACUUUGAAGCACCUGCUGUGUGCAACCUCCGUGCCAAGUGCCCUCGUACCUGCCCUGGAGCCCUCCCGGCCGCCUGACCACGUGGAUACUGUUAGCCCUCCUUAGAGACAAGAGAGCUGAGUCUCAGAGACAAAGAUUAACUUGCCAGAGAGCACACGAGGAGAGAAUGGAGGAGCUGGAAGGGGCCCCACCCCUGCUGCCCCCGUUCUUUCAAGACACCAUCCAGCCUCAGGAAUACAAAAGAAAAGGGAACGUAUUCCAGUUACUCCUGGAAGCACACACACGCAGGGAGUCCCCAGCCUGUUCCCCACACACGACCCGAUGUCCUCACCUGUCUCCCCUACCUCUUCUUUUUCCACCUUCUGUCACAUCUUUCUUCACCCCUACCACGUGGCACCAGUGUUGACUGAGGCACCUGACUGCACACUAAGGAUUGAAUUUUCCAGUUGACGCUGGUCCAAGGGUCUGGGUGGGGAGUGGCUGCUUAAAUGGGUACAGAAUUCCUUUUGGGGGGAAUGCAUUCGCUCUGGAGCUAGAGACAGACGGUGGGGGCACAACAUUGGGAAUGUGCGAAAUGCCACCGGAUUGUUCACUUUAAAAUGAUUAAUUUUAGGUGAUGGGAAUUUCACCUGAGUAAAUUAAAAAGGUUUGGGAAAUGUCCAACAAA